UGAUGAAUUACUUCUGGUAGGUGUCAGAUAACAUGAAUGUGAAAGACAAGGAACAGAUCAGCAGAAGCAUGGUUAAGCGGGUGCUGAGAAAUGAGUACUAGUAGUAACUUCUGUCCCUUCAGUCACUGAAAGAGGAAGAGAGAAAGAAGACAGAGACAGCCAAACAGACAGGUAUCUCCAAUCUGCUGCAUCCCUCUCCAAAGCCAACAGCCAGAAGCCAGAAACUCAAUCUGAGUCCAAUGUGAAUGGCAGGAAGCCAACUAGGAGUCAACAGGCUACACAUCAACAAGCAGAUGGAAUCAGAAACACAAUCGGGACUCCUGUACCAGAUGUACUUGAGGCUGCUGAGAACAACCCAAGUGCAAGUGACACUCUUGAACUUGACCUCAACGAAGUCAUGGUGCCACAUCUGACUUCUUCCAACUGCUGGCA